GCAAAAAUUUUCUUGCAAUAGAAUCGUUGAACGCCCGGACAAGUUGCAGUCAAUAAAAAUUAAUUGAUGAAAAAAGCAAUUAAAUUAAAUUAAAUGCAAGUUAACGAGUUUAUAAAUUGCAAGAAAUGCAAAAAGUAAAAAAAGAAGAAGUGAAAAACGAAAGCAAGAAUUGCAAAUUGUUGAGGUAGCAAAAGUAGAAGGAAGGAAGGACGAAAGAUGAAAGAUGACAGAAGGAAGGAAGGAAGUAAGACUGACGAAGAUGGAAGGAAGACCCAGAAGACCGUGUUAAGUGCAGUUUUCCAGAAGAAAAAAACAGGCAGCUGCAUUUUCCAAGGACGAAGCGCAGCAACCCCUAAUGCGCAUGAUAUACCCGAGAUAGAGUGGGCAGGCAGGCAGGCAGAUAGACGAAGAGACGUGCAGAAGGACAGGAAGAAAGACGCGAAGACCCUAAGCCGAACCAGAACCCGUACCCGAAAGAACCCUCGAGAAAAGGUCAGCGAGGUGCUACCUGAGAACCAGACCAGACCAGACCAGACCAGACUUUUGCUACCUAGAAACGCUAACCGAGUUUACCUUUUGGAAGUGCUGAGCUGUGCCUGCCGCAGUCGAGUGUCUAGGCUACGAGUGAGAUGACGUUGCUGAAACUGUAAAAAUUGUGUUUAAAACUUAAAAGUGCAAAAAGAUUGAUUGAAUCAAUGCCACACCAUCAAUUGAAUUGAAUAGUCUGCCAAUGUGUGUGUGUGUGUGUGCAGUUGGCGCUUGUGGGGCUGUCGGCUUGAGUGUCGCGCUCGAGUCCGACUCAUGUCUCGAAGAUCUAAGAAGCGUCUGCUGCAUUCGAGUUUCUCUUGCGCUGUGGACUUAACUGCUAUUGGCACCAUGGGCCCCACUGUAAAUAAAUCUCAGUAGCGCUGCUUGCUGGAAGGACUGGUCGGACGAGUGCAGCGGAUGCGACGAUUUCACUUUGCAUUCGGAUUCGUGCAGCGCACACACGGACGCAGGAAAAAACACAAACACACUAGCACAGGCUGUCGAAGCGACCUCAUACUUCCAGUCAACGCGUGGGUGUAGUGUUGCAUGUGUGUGUGUGUGCGAGGCCUUACAUGAAUGCGAGCGAAUGGGCGAUAGGCAGCAGCAGCAACAUGCGCUCCGAUUCAUGCGCAUCUGCUAUCCCACUCGCACGCUCAGUAGUUUGCCGGCGCAGCGUUAAAGCAGCACAACCAUAGCAGCGAAGUUCGUGGGUAGCACCAAUGGAGAGACUGAAUGCAGCCGCCCUAACGCUUCGCUGGAUUGAUAAAAGCAAAGGCUGCCGCCGCACAUUGGCAACACUUUCCACUUGCCUAAGCUCCACUUAAAAAACACACAAAUUGCAGAAAUUUCAAAUUCACAAUUCCCCAGUUAACUUCAAUGCGGUUUUUUUUUAGCUAUCGGUUUUUUUUUGAUGGGGGAAAAGACACUCGACUGUGACUACAAUAGACAGCGCUAUCUAACUGGCAAAUCUUUUGGUGAAACGCUAGCAACAUUAUGGCUUGAUAAGUGCCCAGCCCAACACCACCCACUAGCAGAGCUAGCAACUUGUUCAAUUGCAUUGACUCUUUUGUAAGUACAGUCAGCUCAAAGGUCGCUUACAAUUGCAACAGAAAUAACUAAAACACGCACACACAAGCCAUAAACUCAAAAAUUAGUUCAGCAAACAGCAGUUGCCAUUAAUAAAUAAUUCGCAAUUCUAAGCUUUGAAAUCGCAGCCAAAGAGAUAAAUAAAGCGAUUUAUAAUUUGCGUACAUAUCAUUGCAUAUUGAAUACUAAAUACAGUUUGCUUACAGCUUGUUUUCAUAGUUUUUUGCUAAAAACUAUGUAAAUGCAUUUUACAUUAAUUGCGCUUAGGUGAGUUGUCAAUACGCCAACACUUCAAUUCAAUUGCACAAUUGCUCAGAUUAAUUAACAAUAUGAAUCAUAACCAAAAGAAAACUAAAGUUUUCUAUGUGUUUUCUAUACAAAACACUUAGCAAACGCUUGAAUGCAAAGGACAAUGCGCGUUUUUUUUUAAAUUAGCGCUUAAGUAAAAAGGAGUAAGAGUUAGGGCUUGCAAAAUAAAGGGACAAUACGCGUUUUUUUUUUUUGCCAAAAGCGUUUAAGUAGUAAGCAUAGCAGUAGGGCAUUAAAAUAUAGAACAAAGGACAAUAGCAAACAAAAUAAUAGUUAGGCACUCAAAUCUAAAAGGACAAUGCGUGUUUUUUUUUCAUAUGCGUAAAAAAAUAUAUUAGCUAGGAAUAAAAAGAUAACAUAUAGCAAGUCUAUUGCUAGUUACACCCCUAGUCUGCGUAGCGGAUGUGACUAGCAAGGGACUUGGACAUUUCUUAUAACAAACAUACUAUUUUUGCUCAGCUGUAGCUUAAAUAUCUAACACAAUAAAAAUAACCAUUAACAUUAAAAAAGAAAGCAAACGUAACAUGUUUAAUCUGCUUAAAUGUUGUGCAAUUUGCCAAACUCUCUCACACACACACACACACACACAUACCAAUGUGCAUCAGUUUUGAAUUUAUUGGAUUAACCUAUUUGCUGUGUUUUUCAGAGUGACUGACCGUCAGUGUCGAAACUUGGAGCGCACUGCUUGGAGCGUGAGCAUUACUUUUAAUUUUCACCGAAAAGCGAUUUCAAAGCGCUCCAAAUUCCAAGCUCACUAAAUUUUCAAGCACUGUUCGUUUCAACGUCUAAUUUUACACACACUAUAUUCGAUACACAAAUUUUAUUGUUGCAAUUGUUGUAGCCCUUACGCUGCCUUGUGCGCCGCAAAGAGUUUUGAUAUGCAUAAGCCAUGGCGAACGAUUUUCAAGCCCUGCCUGCCAGCCAAACUGCGAUACAACAAGCCAAGAAGCAUUCUCUAAGAAGCUCUCUUAACUAACUGUACUAAAUAUUGCUUCUAAAUUACAGCGGACUGAAGCAGCUAACUCAAUUUUUAGUUUCUCGUUUGGUUCUCAACUUCAGUUUCAAUUCAAUUUUAGUUCUAAAUUGACAUACCUACCACCCACCCAUUGGCGAUUUACAUUUUCUAUAUCUUUUAUCUCACCAACUCAUCAUACUCAACUCAUUCAACAACAAAAAGCUGAAAAACAAAAUUUUGCCAUUUUUUUGUUUUUUUUUUCUAACUGGUUGGUAAUUUAUGAUUCUGCACCAAAUAGAGCAGAAUUAAAAAUUGGCAAUGCGUAGAUUGUUUCCAGCAUAGAAGAAUAUGAACUGUUGUAUGAAAAGUACUAGUUACUUAGCAUAGUUCAGGUCUUAUAUAAAUAAGCAAAUUAUAAUGGUUUAAGCGUUUGUGCAUAAACAAUUAUAAUUAAUUGGCUCAAUCGGUUCGGGGAAACGUCAUACGCAAACGAAAGUCAAAUCCGUCGAAAUCCGCGGCAAAACAAAUCCGUAGAUAUUAAGAGUAACUUCGUACGAGCCUUAAUAUUAUACAAAAAAAUACUUCUAUUGUAAUGUUGUACGAGCCUUAAUAUUAUAAAAAAAAAUACUGCUAUUGUUAUACGCCUGCCUCGAUGCAAUAAAGUUUCGUAUGACAUAAUAUUAAGGAUCGAGGUGGGAAUAAUAACAAAAUCACUCAUAUACAUACAUUUCAUUUUUUUAUAUUUUAAUUUUACACAUUUUUCUUUGGUACUCAUUAAAUAAACUGUGAUCUAAACAUAAACAUCUGUCUUGUUUAUUUAUUUUUUUAUAUAAUUUUGUUUGAUAAAUUCCAAUCAUUGGAAGCAACGCCCGUUUGUUAGCUCCUGCUCCUUUCGACUGCAAAAUGACAUGGAUUUUCAUGCUCCUGGGCAUAAAAUCUAUCGAACUGCAUACGAGGAUAUCCAGGAUUGAAAACACAAUGCUGCCAGCAACUGCUGCUCCUUCGUUAUCCAUCCGAUGCAAAAAAGACUUGCAUUUUCGAGCUGCUGAACAUCGAAUCCAUCGAACUGCAUACCAAGAUAUCAAGGAUUGCACAACAAAAUUUCUUGAAAAAAUUUGCAGGGGAGUUUCGUCCUGUGAGUUGCACAUACUAAAAAUUUUGUAAAUGCGACAGGAUACGGACUAGUUAUGGCCAAUUUUCUAAAGAGGAUUCGUGUAGCAAACAAACAAAAUGUUGCAUACUUUUAAGAUGAGCAUUAUAUACAAGCGAAUUAGCCAAGACAACAACUUGUUAGUGCGUUAGCAAGCACAAAAACCACAAGUAAACAAAACUAACUUAGCCAAGAGCCCGCACCAAAAACAUUGCAACUUGGCAGUAAGCGAAAAAACAAGAUUUGAUUGUAUUUUUAUUUAUAUUCUUUAUUGAAAAUAUUUAUUACCAUAUAUCUUUUCUCGCACGUUUCAUAUUUUUUUGCGUUUUGUUGUUUUCUGCAAAGAAAAAUCUUCAAAAUCGUUAUAAAAAAUGCAAGUAAACAGACUUA